rnacentral:rRNA from 1 species
UGGGGAAUAUUGGACAAUGGGGGAAACCCUGAUCCAGCCAUGCCGCGUGAGUGAUGAAGGCCUUAGGGUUGUAAAGCUCUUUUGUCAGGGAAGAUGAUGACGGUACCUGAAGAAUAAGCACCGGCUAACUUCGUGCCAGCAGCCGCGGUAAUACGAAGGGUGCUAGCGUUGUUCGGAAUCACUGGGCGUAAAGCGUGCGUAGGCGGCUUUCCAAGUCAGGGGUGAAAUCCUGGGGCUCAACCCCAGAAUUGCCUUUGAAACUGGAAAGCUAGAGUACUGGAGGGGAUAGCGGAAUUCCUAAUGUAGAGGUGAAAUUCGUAGAUAUUAGGAGGAACACCGGUGGCGAAGGCGGCUAUCUGGACAGUAACUGACGCUCUGGCACGAAAGUGUGGGGAUCAAACAGGAUUAGAUACCCGCGUAGUCC